rnacentral:rRNA from 1 species
CAGCCGCCGCGGUAAUACGAAGGGGGCUAGCGUUGUUCGGAAUCACUGGGCGUAAAGCGCACGUAGGCGGACACUUAAGUCAGAGGUGAAAUCCCAAGGCUCAACCUUGGAACUGCCUUUGAUACUGGGUGUCUUGAGGUCGAGAGAGGUGAGUGGAACUGCGAGUGUAGAGGUGAAAUUCGUAGAUAUUCGCAAGAACACCAGUGGCGAAGGCGGCUCACUGGCUCGAUUCUGACGCUGAGGUGCGAAAGCGUGGGGAGCAAACAGGAUUAGAUACCCCGGUAGUCCCUGUCUCUUAUAC